rnacentral:rRNA from 1 species
CCUACGGGUGGCUGCAGUGGGGGAUAUUGCACAAUGGGGGGAACCCUGAUGCAGCGACGCCGCGUGGGUGAAGGAGUGCUUCGGCAUGUAAAGCCCUAUCGGCAGGGAAGAAGCAAGACGGUACCUGACUAAGAAGCCCCGGCUAACUACGUGCCAGCAGCCGCGGUAAUACGUAGGGGGCGAGCGUUAUCCGGAUUCACUGGGUGUAAAGGGAGCGUAGACGGCCAUGCAAGCCAGGGGUGAAAGCCCGGGGCCAAACCCCGGGACUGCCUUGGAAACGGCGUGGUUGAGGUGGGGAGGGGUAGGCGGAAUGCCUGGUGUAGCGGGGAAAUGCGUAGAUAUCACGAAGAACACCGGCGGCGAAGGCGGCCUGCUGGACUGCGACUGACGUUGAGGCUCGAAAGCGUGGGGAGCGAACAGGAUUAGAUACCCGAGUAGUC